GGACUUUUCCUGGUGUAUUUUAUUGGGGGAAAAUAAAAAGAAGGGAUAUAUAGGAUGUGGGAAUGUUGGAAUCGGACAAGCAAGCAAUGAAGCAUGGUGCGAGGCCUUGCACCGAGAUUGGCAAAAGGAGAGAGAUUUUUUUGUUCGACUUUUAGAUUUGGAUCAAACCAUUUGGCAUUUCGCUUCCAUUUUCGGUUGUUUAUAAGCUUGUCUCUGUGUGUUUUGAACUAGAUCUCUCUAUAAGGAUUGUCUGAGCGACAAGUUCACAGUCACCACUUGAUCUGACACUGAAAUUGAAAGAUUGUGAUAUUUAGUUUUUGUGAUUUCAAAUAUAAACGUUUUUUGAAGUGCUUAUAAACCUGUGCCCUCUGAUCUUUGUAUCAAAUGGGCGAGUAUUCAAUGGUUUCAUCGUUGUUUGAACAAAGAGGGGUUUUCUGAUAUUCGGUUCCAAUCUGGCAUAUUUUGGGGAUCAAUUUGAGGCGGUGAAUGAAGAGGAGAGUACCGGGGGUUGACUCAUAAUAUCUUGUUAUUCAAUACGCAUUCUGUGUUAAUUGCUUUCAAAUUCGACAGGCUAGCUGGUUUCCCUGCUGAAGAUUUCCUUUCUUUAAGCGCUGAUUGGGGCUGUUGUAUCGCCUACUUCACUCUGCCUGUUCAAAAAAUUGAAUUUAAUUCCUCACUUGUUUUGCUUAUUAUUAUUUUCACUUGUUGGGGAGGAUUUCUUAGGUGCGUUUGAUUUGUUUUUUGUUACUCUGCAUUUACCCAAUUUUGGCUAUCAUUGUCUUAUCAAACAAAGGUAGAUACUACUAGGAGUCUAGGAGCCCUUUUUUGUCAGCUUUUGAGCCACUCAUUUUGUCCUGACAUGUUUCUUUUUUUCAAUAUAUUCAUCAUGGCAUCAACCUAUUUGCCUGAGGGCUAACUGCAUACCCUUUAGGCCCCAUGUCCAAAAUAUUUGCAUGUUUUGUAUGUUGCCUACUCUGAUAUAUAUGUGGUUUUUCUGUGCACCUAAACCAAAAUUUGUUCAACUAGAUGGAUCUGUAAGUCAUGGUGUGUCUACAUGGGCAUCUGGUGUUGAUUGAAUUCCUGCUAUCAUCUUUCUUUGCUUGUGUUAACUGUUGCAUUCAAACUUCAUCAUUUCCUUUUCCUUUUGUUACUAUUUGUACUUCUCAUUUUGUGUCUUUGCAUAAAGUGGCCGUCACCAUAAAUUUGGGGGCGUAUUUCUAAUUAUAUAGGACUUGAUUAUACUUACGGGUUUGUCAUUAUCAUGUAUUCACAUUAUUGUGUUUUUCUCGAUAAGACAACUGGAUUAAGAAAUUUGCUUAUUGGCCGUUUACGGAGCACAUUGCCUAUCUUAAUGGGGUCAUGCUUUCAGGUGACUUUAUUAUUAGGGGAAUUCAUAAUAAUUGAUGUUCUUGGUUUUAGUUUUAUUUGUUUCACAACUGAGGAAACCCGUUUGGGGCAUGUCAGGCUAUCUAAUCAUUUUUUUUUUUCAAUCAUAUGUCAUUUAAACUCACAGAGCUUUAGCUUUUUGGCUAAUGGCUGAUGCUUUAAUAAGCCUUUGUGCAUUUCAUUGUUGUUUCACUUUUGCCAUAGUUCUAAGUUCUCUCUGCUUCACCGGAUGGAAUACAAAUAGUUGGACAAGUUGUGUGAUGUUCUUUUGGAUGCUCCUUUUGUUGCACUUCAAUGCAUAGCCAUUAUUUUUUUCUAUUUCUCUUCCUAUGAUUAUCUGUUCUAGUAGCCUAUGACAUGCUCCUCUUGUAUGGGUUUGUUAUAGUUAUACGCACUUGAGUGAUUUCCUUGUACAAGGUUCCCUGCAGUUUUUACUAUGAAUACCUUGCAUAUUAUCAUAUGAACUAUCAGUCUGACAUGUAUGAGGACUUCUGAAUUCACGUUGAGAUUUUCCCAAUCUCUGGAUCAUUUUUUAUUUUUUUCACCCUUAACUAAAUACAAAGUGAAGAAGAAAAGAGAAAUCUUGCUCUUUUAGUAGUUAAUAAUCAUAGUGAUUAGUGAAUUUCAAUGCUGCCAUACUCCUGAACAUCUGGUAUUAUUUGAUGCAUUUACCAAGCUCGUUUUGUACUGUUCAAGAUUGCUGGGGUCGGGUGAGGCAGAACUGAGCAUGCCUUUGAUGUAGAGAGUUGGUUUCCAACUUCUGGGGAAACAAUUAUAUUCUGAAGCCCAGGUCAAGAAAACUAUGGAGUCCUUUGGAGAGGCGGAGAGGAUAUGAAAAGAGAGCUCGAUCAUAUAUGGUUAGAUUAUCUCAUCUUUCUCUCUCUUUCUAUUCUCCAUGGUGGUUCUACUCUUUCUGAAAUAUGCUUUUAAAAAAAGCUAGUUUAGUUACUUUGCCGAUUAAUAAUGGGCCAAUGAUAAUUUUUUAGGCUUAAAUCCAAAACCAAUAUUUGUGUCUCGAGCCCAAUAUUCAUGUGACCAUUUACUGGUCUAGCCAGUGCCACCAUCCACCGUUAGAUCUUAGGGUUUAUCUGAGCCAUUGGAUUCAACAUUAACCUAAGUAUAUAUAGUGGGUGCCUGUAUGCGCCUCCACCAUAAUACGCAAAAUCUCUUUCUAGAAAAGGGUUUUCCCAUACUCCUCUCUCCACCCCCAUUCCUUUACUUUAUUCUUCUCUCGCGAUUGUGAGGUUUAAGGCUGUUUCGUUCUCCUUCCUCCUGACUCCGUGGAGGCAUUGGAGUUCCACCGAGUUUCACGGCAAGUCAACUGCUUGGUGUUGUUGCCGCCGUGAGACUGUAGCAUCAAAAUAUUGGGCUGCAUGAAAGUGGGCCAAAAGUGGAAUCUGAGAAGCAGCACGUGGGCGGAUGGGGCUGAUGAGCAUGCAUGUGGCAUUGUCGGCUCAAGACCGAUUGCACUGCACGAUACCCUUCUGUAUGGGCUCAGCCAUUGUCAAUAAAAUUGGGCUAUGUUGAACUGGGCUCAGAUUGUCCUGUUUUAUAGGCCUUUCUGUUAUAUUAAGCCCAAGCAGUCAACAUUAAAGCCUGUCCGAUUGUGGAAAACAGCACGUGGAAGUCGUUUGACCUUGACACACGUACACGUGGUCUGCUCAGGACCGGCAGUAGUAGGCUUAGCUGUUGUAUAAUAUAGGGACAAACAGGUUGAAUCACCAAAAGAUAUGGACCUGAUACACUGAACAGCAGGUGGUCAUGUCUGAUUUCGGAUACACAUGGAUAUGUCCGAAGUUGUUGGACAAACACCUGGCCUUUUUGGCACAUGACUCACAGCAGGCCAUCUAUCAUCUAUGGGUUCUUUUGUUAAUAAUGUGGAGCUGAUAGAGCCCAAAACCAAAAUACUUGGGCCUCAGUGGCGUGCCCAGCAAAACAAUGCGACUGUUUAGCGAUUUGCAGACCUGUCUGCUUUUUUGGAGACAGUACGUGCAACAGUUGGACAGGUCUACAACACAAACAUGACUUUGUCGGCUCUAAUAUGGGCUGUGAUAUGGGCCUGACUGUUAAAAUAUGGGCCCAGCAACAGAUGCUGUCAAUAAAUUGGGCUUGGUAGCCCUAAAACAUAAUACUAUAUUGGGCUUUAGUUGUUUGCCUGCUUUAAGGAGACAACA